AGCUCCAAUAGCGUAUAUUAAAAUUGUUGCGGUUAAAAAGCUCGUAGUUGGAUCCCUGCCACGGACGACCGGUCUGCCCACUGGGUGUGUAUCUGGUUCGGCCUGGGCAUCUUCUUGGAGAACGUCUCUGCACUUGACUGUGUAGUGCGGUAUCCAAGACUUUUACUUUCAGGAAAUUAGAGUGUUUCAAGCAGGCACACGCCUUGAAUACAUUAGCAUGGAAUAAUAAUACAGGACCUUGGUUCUAUUUUGUUGGUUUCCAGAAUUAAAGUAAUUAUGAAUAGGGAUAGUUGGGGCAUUCGUAUUUAAUUGUCAGAAGUGAAAUUCUUGGAUUUGUUAAAGACGGACUAUUGCGAAAGCAUUUGCCAAGGAUGUUUUCA
rnacentral:rRNA from 1 species